CCAGAGCUGGAACAUAACAAAGUAACAAAAUCAAAGUCACUAGCAGGCAGGUAUACAGCAUUUCUGUCAUUCUACAUGUACAAGGUUGAUUUAGUCUGACAACGGCAAUAUUGCUUAGUGUCACAAUGGCAAUAUUGCGCAAGGAAACAAGCGAGCAAAAUCAGAGUGAAUGUUGACACACCUAACACUAAUGUAACCAGUACCAAUAUGACAUUGAAGAUCAUCUUUUAGAUUUAAUUUAUAAUAGCAUGUAAAACCACACAUAAAUGUAUAAUAUAAUAUAUUCCACAAAUUCAACCACCGACCCUGACCUAUUUUAUCUUCUCUCAACACCCUCUCUUUGACCACUCCCAACCCCCUCUUCUUUUGCCUGGGUAGCAUCUAACAACUGCAUACCAUUGGUCACAUCCAUCACUAGUGCGUACUUGAUCACAAAUUGUCGUCAGGAUCUUACAAACCACAGUCUGGUAUGAUCCAGACCUAAAUGGACCUCAGUGAUCUGGAUCAGAUCCCUAGAUUAAGAUCAGUAUGGAAAAUGAGAUAUGGACUGUAGAUCAUAUAAUCCUCGAAUUCUAAGAUCCAGAUACAAGUCAUCUUUUUGCAAACUAAAGCUAUUGCAUUUCCAUUCUUUAAGAUGAAUUAGUUUCUGACUGAUGCAAUGUCCAAAUCAUCACUAGCAAACUUUCAAAACAUCAAGGGUUUAAAUCUUAUCAAAUUUUUUUUCAACUUUUAAGAGUAAAGAAAAUUGAGAUUUUGUUGUUUCAGAACUAAGAGCUAGGGUUUUUUUCCUUUUUCAAUCUCUCUCCUAUCUUGUUGAAAAUAUAGAUUCUUUCUACAACCACUUAAAACAAAGAAACAUUCAAUAAGCUUCUUCUACAUACCUUGCUUUUGGGUCAAAUUACUCAAAUUAAGAUAUUCUAUGGAUUUAAAGGGUGAAAUAAAACUAUAUUAAGCAAUCAAAAAUUGCCCCAUCCAUCCUCCCUCUAAAUCAUCAUUGGAAACAAUGUUAUGACUCCCUAGGUCCCCCAACCAUUGUCAGCUCAAUAAGCUUCUUCUAUAUAGAUUCUUUCCACAACCACUUACAACAAAGAAACAAUCAAUAAGCUUCCUUCCAUAUACCUUUCUUUUGGGUCAAAUUACUCAAAAUUAAGAUAUUCUAUGGAUUUAAAGGGUGAAAUAAAACUAUAUUAAGCAAUCAAAAAUUGCCCCAUCCUCCCUCUAAACCAUCAUUGGAAACAAUGUUAUGACUCCCUAGGUCCCUCAACCAUUGUCAGCUCCCUCCACUCUUGUGUACCUCUACCACAUCCACUUGCCUCCAGACUCCACUUGCAAUGAACCUCAUCUGCCAUGCCAUCAGCCCCUUUCCAUUGCCCUCCUCCAAGAUGAGUGCCAACCCUCCUUUAAGUCUUGCUUAAGCCAAAACCUUGACAGGGUCAGGUAAUCAAAUCAAGAAUCUGAUUACAAACAUUAGUGUUUGCCCAUGCUCAACGUAUGCCAUAAAGCACAUAUCAUGCCAAUGGGUCACAGGCAGUGCACCAGUGCAUUUAUGACAUACUUUAUUGUUGGAUAAGGCUUGAUUACAUGCAUAGCAGCAUAAUAUGUAUACAUGCAUAUAUGCAUGCAUUCUUGCACCCACUUGGUGCAUAGGUUAAAGACCACCAAAGCAUGUGAUUUUUUUGGUUUGUAGGCAUUUUUCGUUCUACAGAUAAUGACCAGUGGUGUGGACUGGGUGCCCCAUUUUCAGUUCUUCUCCAAAUCCAAUCUUUAUCAUUGGGAUAAGGCUUGGUGCACACCUACAUAACAUGCAUAGAUGUGUAUGAACGUAACCAAGAAAAUUUAAUAAUGUCAGGUUCAUGAACAAGACAAUCAAUAAUGAACUCAGUAAAUUUAACAAAGAACAAUUUAAAUUAGAGUUCAGUUGACAACUUGAUUGAUAUUUCAUGCGAAGUAACACUGAUAAUGAUAAUUAUAUUCAUGCUUGAACUAUUAUAUCAACUAUUAAAGAUAGGCAAACAAGUUCUUUCAUGCGCAGCAUAGAGUAUGUACCAGAAACAUUUUAACCUCAGGCUGGGGAAAUACCUAGGGUAUAUAGAGGCAAAAGCUUAAGAGCCUCCGGAAGAAUUAGCUGUCCGGAUGAUGAUACAGUUGCACAAUAUUUACGAUAGGAGUGUAAGAUGUUGAUGCAGAGGUUUGUUAUUUGAUCCCGAACUUGAGAUAGAGGACUAGUUGGGAUGCCAUUUGCAGCUGUAGGAUGCAGAACAAUGAAAAAAGUCAUUUACUGCAAGAGCAAACAACAAUACUUAAGAAUAUUUUACCUUGCUUCAGAAAACAGGCAAACUGAGUGUCCAGAUCAGCUGAACGAAACAGAUUGCUAAGCAUGCUGGUGCAAGGAAGCGAGAGAUUUAUAAUUCGAAUUCUUCUUUGCCCAUACACUGUAGUGUAAAGAACUGCACACUGGACAAGGAAGCAAUAGUAAACAAGAUUAACUCUCUAAAGUAAUAGAUGAUAUUGCCAUCAAAAGUUAAACACAAUGUUAAUAAUUGAAACAUGAAGUGUAAGCUAGGUUGUACAAGGCACAACAGAACUGAGUUGAACGAUGUGAAAGCAGCAGUGCUCAUCUUUGCACGUAAGUUUUUAAUCAUACCUGGAAAGCACAUUCUGAACCCUCCUGGAACUUAUCAUCAUGUUUGAAAGUGACCAUUAUGGUUUUGUCGCAAUCGAUCUGUGUCAAACAAGCUUUCUUAGGGCUGCAAAUCAAUAUGCAAUGUAACAAUAAAGCAGAAUAGACGUCUUGUCAUAUCAAUUCAGUGUUAGCAAAUCCUAUUCUAACUGACAUUGUAAAAAGUGUUUGAAUCAGAUACAUCAGUAGGGAGGACGAAACUUCCCCAUAAAUGAAAAAAUUAGAAGAUCGGUCUUAAUGAAAUAUUCAAAAUGGGACCGAUCAGAGAAGAGUUAAAUGCAAUAGUACCGCUGCCGUUCUAUUAUAGUGUCGGAAUGUGGCAUAGUAUCCGAUUUGGCAUACCGAGUGUUGGUACACUCCCAAACCGUAUACCGGUCGGUACCGGUAUGGUAUGAUAUGAUCAUUACACACCGUUAUCGACCGGUAUGGCAAACUUUGGUAAAAACUAAGUGAAAGGGAUAGGUUAGCAAUGUUGAAUGGAAGUGUAUGUGAAAGCAGAUCCUGCUCUGUAUUUGGACAUCCAAUUCAGUAAAAUUAGGAAUUCAUCAUAUAUUUCAAGAUUAAUAAAGUAUUUAUAAUUCUUGAUCAAGAAUGCAGCUUUACAAAAGUAGCUUAGUUUUAAGGACACGAUUCUAAUCAUCAAUCAUUUUCCCCUUUUCGAAUAAUUAUUCACUUUGUAAUCGCAAUUUAAACAGAAGUUCUACUUUUAUCUUUACCAAAAAUCCAAUUAAUAAACAAGGUAUUAUGUUAAAUAUGCAUAUUAUCUUUAUAUUAGUUGACUUGACAGAUAAGUCAAAGAUGUGUAGGUAUAUGAGUUUAAUAAAAACUGUCAUAUUGGAAAAAACAUGGUGUGAUUGAUUUCCAUAUCUUGAUGCUAUUAUACAAAAAGGGCAAGGACAACAAAGAUUUUAUAUAUAUACAUAUACGUGCGUGCGUGUGUGCAUGCGUGUGUGAGUGAUUGCAUGACAUGAUAUAGCAGAGAGAAGCUUCCAAUUCAAUCUUGUCAUGUUGCUAAAAUAGAAGAGGAAGUGGGUGCUGGGAAGUGGAUAUUUUAGACCUUCUAGUAGGGAAGGGCUUAGGAAGCAGGUGUGAGUUAAAGAUUCUGGGAAGAUUCUGAAUUGGUGCAUUAACCUAGGUAGAAGAUUCCGGCUAUUAAGAAACAAAGUCAUGAUUUAUCAGUGCUCACAUGCUCAUUCAUGUAAUCAUAAUUAUUUAUGAAAACAUACAAGAGCCUGGAUAAAUUCAGCCAUCAUUUCUAAAAUCUUAUGACAGCAACAGAAGAAUAGUUUUUGGUGGCCAAUAACAUAGUAGGUUAGUCCUGGUAUCUUGCCAGUUAUCUACUCGUACCUGACUACUUAAAAUCGAUUCAACCCUUCAAAUGAUUUGUUAAGAAAUUCAAAAUGUGAAAUAAAUUCACAGCAGCAUGAUUUCCGAAGUCAGAAAACAGCUUAAAAAAUAUAAGAGUACCGACCGCAGGAAGAUCAAUAUCAGUAGGAAUGCGCUUGCAAAAACUUCCAGAGUACUCCUGAACUUGAAGGCCCUAUGAAGAAGUAAAAUAGAGAAAACAAUAUUCAUGGCCCAAGGCAAGUUUAGUUUAAAAAUAUAACCAUUAAUUCUAGCAAGUACAUCUCUCAUAAGACUUACCUGGCUGCAUCUUACGCGCAUCACAGCCUCAAAACCUUGGGGUCUACUGAUAUUCCAUCUAAGAUCAUUGUAGAGUUUAGCAGUAUCGGAAAGCGCAGAAAAUGGGUAGUAAUAAUAAACCUGCAACAAGGAAAAAGAAUAUAAAUUACUUCUCAAAUGCACCCACAUCUGAAACAACACCUAUCACCACAUUCAUGGUAUUAUGUGGCUUCAUUCUUUCAUUUCAGUACAUCCUCAAAAUAAAUUUAUAAUUUGUUAUCUUUGAUUCAUAACACAUUCGAUGUUUAAAAAAAAAAAAUUAUCACCUAACUCAUUUGUACCCAGAAGAAUAUCUACAGAUGUCAUAAAUAUAAAAUGUUUCAGUUCCAUUGAUUUUAUUAACAGGUAAAACGGUGCCCUUUGCCAUAAUUUUUGAUAAAACACGAGAGCUAAGAAAGACUACCUGUCCUCCAGUAGUUCUUGGAACAACAGAGAUAGAAGCGAUGUCCACAAAGGUCUGGGUCGUAAGGAAUAUAUCCACACAAACCUGGAAAAUGUUAUGUUAUUAUUUUGCCUACAUCCAAGAUAGAUUCGUUUCAAACUUGAGCUCGGUUACUUGUAUAAAAUCACCUGAUAUUCAGCAAACUCUAUUGCCAUUGUCUUUAGAGUCUUGUCUGCUGGCUGAAGCAAUUUAUGGGCCUCCUGAAAUCCAGUGAAGAAUGUUUGCCUAUUCAACUUUCAUUUAGACUUGAAUUUAUGAUGGAAUCUAUUUAGGCCUAUAAUAACUUACAAACAAAUCAGAAAGUUAAUUUUAUCAUUUAGACUUCUACUAGAAGCAUAAAGUGCCACAGUAAAAUUAAGAAUAUUAAGGACAGGAAAAUUAAGAAUCAAGCCACACUGAUCUAACUGCAAGUCAGCUUAUGGAUAAAAAGUUAAAGACAUUCUAAAAAUGAAUAGCUGAACUGUCAUGAAUUUUUUUUUUCGAGUCAGAACUAUCAAGGGUUCACGACGAUUCCAGAUUCUGGCAUCUUUUGCAAUGGCUGAGUCCCUUGAAGCUCGUAGUUAAUAAGUAUCCACAAAAUACCAUUAUUAAUGUAUAAGCAAAUGUACAAGAAAUCUGACAAUCAAGAGCACAAGAAUAUUAGAAGCUAUGUAUCGUAAAACCUUAUCUCCUGAAGAAAUAUUUGUUCUUCCUUCUGCUUCUCUGGAGGAAAGAGACCCAAUACCAACUGAUGGCAAGACUGCAAGGAACAAAAUAUAAUCAGAAGCUAUUCUAUUAAAUAUAACAAAAUACAACCAAAAAAGAGAUGAAGCAAACUUUACACCCAUGAACUAAAAAGGUUGAGGCCAUACACAUUACGGAUUACAUACAUGUAUACAAAACAAAGAUACAGACACCCAAUUUUCUGCCCAUCUGCCUAAAUUGGUCCCAAAAGGUUGAAAAUUAUAAUCAACGAAGCACCUUAGGUACCAUAAUAAUACAUGUUUCAUUUUAAAGUGUAUCAGCAAGGGCAGAUGAAUAGUUGCAACUUGCAAAUAAUGAAACUUGGGUGCAAAACUAUAAUAAUUGCCAUUUGACAUUUUCAUCCCUAAUUCAACUAUAAUAAUAGGGCACCAUUUAGUUUGGAGUAAAGUCUUUUUUUCCCAAUAAAAGCUUUGAAAUAUCAAGAAUCAAACCUAUAUUGACCAAGGGUGGGUAUCGCAUGUGUUGUAUCAAGGAUCAUGCUGACAGAAGAUAUCAAUAGUUAUGUAUAGAUAGCCCCCAAAUAAACCCUUGGUACGGCAUUUGUGCCCUCCAAAAUCUAUCAUGUUUUCCAGUCUCAAUGGUAUGUUUUUGUAAGAAAUAAAGCAGGGGUGUUGAUCUAAGUGUCCUAAGCAUGACCUUCUGUGUGCGCUGAAGUCAAUGACAUUCAAAUUGUCAAAAAAGAAAAAAAAAGAUCAUAUAAAUUGGAGCAUAUAACAUAUUUGCGAUAAAGAUCUAUAACGUGCAUACUCAUAACAUAAUGAACAAUUAGAAAUAGCAUCCAGGUUUUUCAUAAAGACACUUCACUUAAGAAAAAAUUACGUAGGAGCAUAAACAAAUCAAUGUUCUCCCCUUCUUCUUGUACUAACAGCUGGUGGGAAUCCUUAAAUUAGCAAUCAUUUUGUUGUAUUUAGUUCGACAUCUAACAAGAGGUUGAUCUCUACCCAAAUUUGAAUUAAAUUUCUCAAGUUAUCCACUUUACAACUCGAUUUCCUAUUUCUUUACUUCGUCUGAAAUUCAAAUAAAAACAUGGUUGUUCUAGCACCAUAAUUCGAACAUUAAAGGUUGAAUCAUGUGAUGAUUGACAUUGGAUGCUUCAAGAAUCUCCCUUUGCCCAUUUCAAUCUACAAAUUGAGAACAAACCUUUUUCCCUUUGCUUGUUUCAAUCUACAAAUUGAGAACAAGCCUUUCUCCCCACGAGAAAUUAUUCCCUAGCAGCAGAUACCGCUCGGUCUAGGCAUGAAUUCAGACUUGGCAGCAAGGUGACCGUGAUCUAUCCUUGAAUCACCCAAUUCAGGGUCAGUUCAAGUGGUUCAGUUGGUAUUUGCCUGAAACAAACCCCACUGUUUUGUUUUAGGGUUGGCACUUUGCACAGUAUAUACCAAGAUGUACAAACUGAAUCGACCAGUUUUCAAACAUUGGUUUCAUAAUUGCUAACCCUUAUCUCCAAGGUUUCCACCUCUAACCAACUUUGAUCAUCUCCCCCUAACACUACUUCAUCAUCUAAAAAUUAAAUAAACAAACCAACCUUCUAUGUUUGAACAUCAGUUAAUACAUAAAUAACAAAUGAAAGGACUUAACUACUGUGGCUUUCAAAUUACUAAUAAUAAUAAUAAUACUUAUAUAAUAAUAAUAAUAAUAAUAAUAAUAAUAAUAAUAAUAAUAAUCACAUUAGUGAAAAACCACUAUUUCAGCCUUUAUUUUAAACAUUGAUGUAAGCUUCCUGCAAUAAAACCAAUUGGCAUGUCCCCUGGUCAUUGGCAGCCUUUAUUUUAAACAUUGAUGUAAGCUUCCUGCAAUAAAACCAAUUGGCAUGUCCCCUGGUCAUUGUUCCACCACCCUCUAACCCAAUUUAAAUUGUUCUAACAAAAUUAAUUCACAAACUACAUCAUAUAUAUCCCCAUUAGCUAGUGCAGUAGUAAACCUCCAACCAUUUGCAUUUUCCUUGUCCUGGAGUUUUCAUUAGGUUAGCUAGUAAAUAACAAGAACCCAUGUCUCCAAAGAUAUUUCUAAACCUUUAUUAGUAUUUUAUAAGCCUAAGACAGUUUAGUUGUUAACCUGUGCAUUUUACCGAUUUUUAACACUUAAGUGAGAUUCUGAUAAAUCAUGUCCACCUUUAAAGUGUUCAUUAGCUUCAGCAAUGAACCAUUUACAGUUUCGUGGUCUUCCCUCUUUCUCAUAAACUGAAUGGUAUUUGCACUUGGUUCACCUGAUUAUUUACCUGCAUCUCUAAAUUUCUUAUCUAUCAUAAAGAUAUUAUAAAUUAUAAAGAAUUAUCAGAUAUAAAAUUAUGCUGCACAGUACCAUUAGUAACCAAAUACAGCAAAAAUAUAUUAAUGUGGACAAGUUAGAACAUUAUAAGCAUGUUAUAUACCCAACAUAUUUAUGUCAGCCUUUACACCCAAAGUAGCAUUGUGGAGCUUUUAAUCCUUGUUCACCGUAUCAUUCAGCUCUUCCAAAGGCCACUUCAAAUUUAAGAGACUUUUUUUUCACAUAAAAAUCUAAUCUUAUGCAGCACUUCACCAGCUUUGUUGGAGAUAACCAAAUCAACCAGGUAAUUGGAAGUCCAUUAGUUAAUCUGGAUGCCGAUAUGCAUCCAUAUCGACUUUCUCACAUGGGCCAUAGCCGCCAUACAAUUUUAUGUGCUAACGAGAAUGAAGAUGGGAAGAGAUGACUCAUUGUUUUUCUUGGGCAGGGAAGGGGAAGGAGGAUUCAAUUCUGAAAUAGUUAUUUUCUUUCUCUUUCUUCUAAAACUUGAUUUUCACAAGAAAAAUUGCAAAUUUGAUCAACAUAACUGAAGUUAGGUCAGGAAAGUGGCAGCAACAGAAACCAUAGGGACAAAGAGGUUUUUCUCGGAGCUUGGUUAAUAUACUGUUCAUAAGCCUGUAAGUUUCUUCCCCUUUUCUGCCAGAGCUUCGGUUAAAAAACUGUUCAUAAGCUUGUAACAUCAAGCCCAAUUCUAGCCAAUUUAUUGCUACACCAGCAUACAACAUGCUGGAAGCUUUUGCUCAACUAGAUGCAUGUAAACUAUGGCAGUAGUUUUCAAGCAAAGCCAGCAAACUGAGAUCCCCAUGCUAUCACCAAAUUGGGAGUUAAAAAAUGCUGACAUGUAGUGAUCAAUACUCCUACUUCCAGAGUCUCAAACAUUCUAUGAAAAAAUGAAAUAUGACAGUUCUUAUAGUAGAAGAAUUUUAAAACUUCUAAAAAGCAUUCAUCCUACAGUUCUACUUAAAUAUUUUGUUAAAUCAAGAACCGAACCCAAAACCAACUGAGAGACAAGAAAAUUUUAAAUCUACAAGAUGUGCAGAUGAUUGAGAUAAUGAGCAAAAAAUGCAUGAUUUUGUUCUAGUACCAAAUAAAAAUAAAUGUACUGUGAGGCUUGCCUGAUUGAAACACAAGAAGCUUUCCACCUGUGGGUUUCAUAGCCAGGAACCCAGCCUGAAAUGGAUUGAAGAUAAAUAUAUAAGAUUAGUCUGUUUUUCUUUGAGAAAAAUAGCUAACAUUAUGGAUUCUGACACUAAGGAUUGAGCAUCACUCCACAUAUGUAUAUAUGAAAAUACCAAGGUAUGCUGAACCGGUACCGCCGGCCGUAUCGGCCGGCCGACGGUACAAAUCGAUACGGUUUUGUGCCGUACCGAACCGACGAAGGCAAGCGGACCCGAAUCGGAAGAAAAAAAGAGAGAGAGAGAAAUAGAGAGAGAGAAAGAGGAAGAAAGAAAAAGAGAGGGAAAGGAGUCGGCGGGGCCGCCGGAUGGCCUCCGGCUGACUGCCGUGGUCGCCGGAGGGCGCAAUCCACGCGCGCGGCGCCGCAGGUGUAAAACAGGGGCGUCGCCCCUGUUUCGCAAUUUUUUUUUAAAAAACCUAGUUUUAAGUGAAGUCGGCAAAUAGUUUGCCGGCUUCACGAUUUUUGUAUUUUUUUUUAAAAAAAAUCCCUUAAGUCGGCAACUAGGUUGCCGACUUCAUAAUUUUAAAACCAAAAAAAAUAAAAAAUCAAAACAGACAGUCGUUUGUUUCGAAAAAGAAGAAGAGGACGAGUCGCAGAGGGGCUCCGCCCGCUCGACCGCCCUCAGGCCGUUGGCGUCGACUCGCCGGCCACUNNNNNNNNNNNNNNNNNNNNAGGCGCCGUCCGUCCGGUAGGUCCCUCGUCCCCCCUCCGAGCGCUCUCUCUCUCUCUCUCUCUCUCGCUCUUUUGAAAGUCCUAUCGGACGAUACGGGACUCGGAAGCCCUCCGGCGGCUGUAGCCGGUCACCGCCAGCCUCCGACGGCUCCCACCUCCCUCUCUCUCCUCCUCUCUCUCUCUUUCACUUUCUCUCCUUUUUUCUUUCAUACCGCCCGUGUACCGAAUUUACCGGCCGAAUCGUACUGGUUCCCUGCCGGUCCGGUGCGAUACGGAGUGUACCGGCCGGUUCGGCACGGUAUAGAAAACCUUGAAAAAUAUAUUUAUAAUUUUUUAAGUAAAGCUCUUAAUCACCCAAUUAAUUUGAAUUUAGGACUUGUUUGGCUGCAAAAUAUAUUUUGGAAGGAAUAUCCUUCCACUGUUGAAGGAAGAGACCUAUACGACAGAAUACGACCUUUUUGGCAUCUGAUAGGAUGGAUAAGUGCGGGAAAUAAGGGGCAUUAAUACACAUUGAACUUCAAGAUAGUAAGGAUUUUUAUCACAAAAACGAGAUUGCCCUCUCACUUUUUUGAAUAUAGGCAAAUGGUAAUCGAAGAAGGGAAUAAGGGUAAGCCUAUUCCGUGAUAGAAGUCUGUUCAACCAUUUUGGUGGAAUAGAUGUAUAUUCUGCAGGCCCACUUAUACCCUCACAUGUUACAAGCCCCUUUCCAUGAUCCUUUUUGGUGUUAUGCGAGGAUAUCCCCCAUUUGGAAGAAUAACCCCACUCUUAUUCCACAGCCAAUGCCCCUAGUACUACAGAAAAGUGUAAAGCUUCAGUAUCUUAUAACUAUACAGCAUCAGAGAGUUCAGAUCCCCAUGUAAAUAGCUCUUAGAAAUUAAAAUAUGAAAGAAAGAGGAACAAGCAUAGUCAGGAUGGUGAACAACCUUAACAAAAUGCAUACCUUGAUAGCUGCACCAAAAGCAGAAUCAGCGACUCUGUUAUUUUCAAACAUGUUCGGGAUGCUAUCCAGCAAUUGCUCCAAAUUUUGACGGCACUAAAUCCUCGGAAUAAAACAAGAAAGUUCUCUAAGCAUGAAAAACUUUGCUGACAGAGGAAUGCAAGUACAAGUCAGAGUUUUAAAAAAAAAAAAGCAAUCCAAACCUCAGUAAGUUGAACAAUCAGGUCGGUAUGAAGGGGUGUAUAAACAUCUUGUACGUCAGGAACAAUGAGCAUCAAAGGCUGCAAAUGUAGUAAGAAUUAAUAAAAUAAAAGAAUCAUUUCAUGCAAUCCAUUAGUAUCAAUAGCAUCCUGUGCAAAUGUAUCUAACUCCAUAUCCUCAGAGACUUUGUAAGUGAAGAAAUGCUGAGAGAUUUCUUUGUAGCUUUUCCACAAUGCUUGUCUGCUAUUGGAUAAGCAUCAAAAUGAUGAUAUGCGUGCAACAUGACAAUGUUUAACAGUGCAUAGACAAUCUAGACUUGAAUAUGUACCUAGCAAAUAAUCUUUUCAUAUUUUAUGAGACAUUUAAUCCAGAAUUUAGUCUAGAAAAAUGUUUCCUCAAACAAUACAGACCUUGCCAAAGAAUACAGUGCACAUGCUGUAUCUACUAGAUGACUCAAGGCACACGAGCCCAGCCAAAUUUUAAUUUUUAGUAAAAACAUAAGGUAAAUAUUGACAUAAAAACUUGCACAUGAACCGACCAGGAUACAAACAUUUGAACUCAAUUCCCAAGGUUUACUUCGUAAACAUGAUAUCAUCCUUCUUGAGGUUUUUACCACUCAAUUUUUGUCCCCAGCAGGUCCUUUCUACUGAAACAUUCUGUAGAUAUUUGUGUUAUGUGGGUAGCAUAUUUUAUUCAACAUUUGUGUUCUGUGGGUAGCAUAUUUUGUUCAUCUUACUGGUCAGGCCUGAGUGUAACAUGUAAACUGCACAACUCCCAUGGAAGGGUUGACUGAACUCAAAUUUCCAUGGAUGCAAGACAACAUAACAAGAGAAAUAGGUGAUUCUUAAUAGCUCUACAAAAAUAAAAGUUCAUGCCAGCUCUCAGAUGCUUGUAAGACAUGAUAAAAACAUCUCCAUUACCUGCUGUGAUGCUCGUUUAAGAUUGUAAAAAUGAAUAGAUGAAUCGAAGGUCGCUAUGCCCACCAUUGUUCGAGGACCUUCCUGCAAAGAGGCAACAAAUUUCAAUAAAUAACUUGAACACCUUCCAGUCUCUCUUGCUCAUAAAAGUUGCAAGAUGCAAAAUAAUGGGUGAAUACAAAUGGAAACUAAAGCUUGUAUCAAGACAUUAACAUUGAUGAAAAAUUUAAUUAGACAAUAAUUAUUAGAAAAGAAAGGCAAAUAGAAAAUAUAUGUUAUAGGUUGAUUCCUUCCAUCAAUCUCCAAAACAUAAUUCUAGCAGUGGUCAAAGUGAUCCAGCUGAUGUGGCAAGUCGUUACUAGUUAAGAUGACAAAGAAUGAUUUAAAAACUGCCAAGUAGAAACUAAAACCCAUAAUUAACUUUUUAUUAAUAUAUCUGUUCCAUGAUUCAAAUCCCAUUGGAUGGGGCCAUCCGAGUUUUUCCAUGGAAUGGGAUGCACCACCAUCCAUGGGAUGCACCACUCUGGAUGGUGGAUGUCUUGUCUUUUCCCAGUCCCUGUCCUGCCUUAUCCCAUCCUGACACUUGGGAUUGUAGGACAUACUGCCAUUCCACCAGGACUUAUAUCCUUGCUUAUGCUGAUGUCAUUGUUGAUCUCAUCAUAAUGUUAGCAUGACCACAUUGGCAUGAUAACAACAAAACUAUAACACUAAAAAUGAAGCUAACAUUAGCAAAAUAGUCUACCUGCAUCACAUAACAACAAUAAUGAGCCAGUGUUAAUUACUGGAUACAAUAAUGCAACGUCAUGCUUUUCAAGCAAAAUUAGUCUAACAUCGAGACUAGGGGCAGUUGCACACCUUUUAAUGCACAGUAAUUAAUUGAAACAUUUUCUAAUGGUAAGUAAUUAAUUGAGAAAACUGGCACAUCAAACUACAAGAUUCCCUUCUAUUAGCAAAAGCUCAUAAGCUGUGUUAAGAAGUGUAUGACUCUAGUUCUAGGAUUAUUAUAUGGAAACUAAAACCUUCAUGCUCAACAAGUUAGCUGCCCACAACUUCUGAUAUAUGAGAAAUAUCCCAGAGAGCUUAAGUAUUUGGUAAGCGGGUUAAAGUAUCAGGACCAACAGGUAGACAAUCCAGGAAUUAGACAGCCAUUUUACCUCUCUAUUCACCAUACAGUUAUAUGGUGAUUAUCAUAUUUCUUUAAGAAAAAGCAUCAGCCAUGAUUUUGACAAUGACGUUGUAAAGUCAGAUACUCAUGACAAUAGUUUUGAGAGAUGACAAAAUCAUGACUUGUCACAAUACUGACAACAAUAUAAGUGGAUAAUGGCAGGGAAUCUAGUACCUUUUCUGAUAUAACCAGUGACAGGAAAGGGCCCACAGUGCCUAAAAAGUACUAAUGGUUAAGAGUUAAGAGGUAGUAGGGCUUUUGUUCCAUGAGAGGAAUGAGUGUAGCAUGGUUAUGAUCCUUAUUUCAACUUUGUCAAGGUUUUGAUUGGUUGUUUCAUCAAUGAGGGAGUCCUUUAAUUGCUUAGCCACUUAUCUGCGGCAUUGUUGUGAUUUUCCAAAGCAGCAAAGACUAACUGCUUAUAGAAAAAACCAAUCUGAUCAACUGAUCCUUAACACCUACAGUAUGUUAUGACUGCCAAAUAUGAAGGAGAAUAAAGGAAAAGAAGAUCUCAGAAACUCUGAGAAGUCCUAGUCCUAACCAAACUCUCAGAUCGAUGAACUAAUUCCCUGCAAAACAAUUCUCUGCAUCAGGUCUUUUCAUUUAAAGGAUCAUGCCCAACAACCAAGCAAGCUAUACUUGAUUUUUCUUAAACAUUUUUUCCACGUGGAUUAUUGAACUACCACAAACACUAACAUUACUCCUGAUUUUUCCUAAACAAUUUUUUUCACAUGGAUUAUCAAACCACUAUCCAAUGUUCUAGUUCUAUCUUGAGCAGAUUUUAUCAUUGCAUUGGUAGCACCCGGUGGUACAAUGAAUCAAAAUAGUUGGAUCAUGACAAUAAGACCAAAGGAUGAAAACUGAGUUUAACCAGAGAAGAGCUGGAUCACCUAUGCAAUCUUGUAAAAAAAAAAAAACAACAGGAGAUUGACACCAAUGAAUUCAAAGAACCAAUAGUAAGUUCAUUUUCCAUACCAUGGCACUUCACAAGAAAAAUCUGAUAAUGAAUUCUUUAGACAUAAUGUGUGCAAUUAAAGUUAGAGCCCAACAAUACAAAGAGCAAGAAUACAAUUUGAAGUUUGAUAUUCUAAACUUAAACAGAAAAUUCCAAAUCAAGGAACUUUUUAUUGCGGGAAUUGUCAAAAAGUACUUGUUUGGCUGCAUCAUGCUCCAGAGGGAAAAGCUAGAACAUAUGCUUCAAGAAGAAGAAGAAGCAAAUACACACAAAAAAAAAAAAAAAUGAUGCAAAAUUUUCAUGACUAAAGAUAAAGGUCUUCUGAGAGAAAUUCUUUCUCAAAGAUUAUGAUGCAGUAAACUACAUAAACCACAUCAACUUGAUGCAAGAUUCUCUUAGCAGCAUAAACUAAGGAGAUGACUUCAGCUUGUUCUCAAUACAGAACUUAGUCAAAAAAGCAAACCAGGAUAAUUACUUGGUUAAAACCAAUCUGAAUCAGAAUAGUCAAAAUCCAGCUUCUAUAUUCCCCAUAUGGAUCAUGGUCUAUAUGGUCAACUAGACCAUAGAUGUUAAUUUUAUAGGUUCAGACACCAUGCUUCUCCAUGCAAACACAAACAGAAAUUUUUAGAAAACAUUUAGGGCAACGAAAAGUGAAUUGAGGAGCCAGUCUAGCACAUGCUGUACAUCAGUUGGUAGAGCACAGAAGGGACAAUCUUCCAUGUCAAGCCUCCUAAGCAACAAGGGCAGAGCCUAAAAUGUGCUCACACAAGACAGCCUCUUUUAAACAUAGAAAAACACUAGCAAUGUUCUGGACCCUUAUGAUUUACUUUCUAUAAGUUGGGCCCCUCAUUGUAACCAAAGACUCAUUAAGUUGUAAUUUGCCCCAUCCCUCUUCUAAGCAAAGAGUACAUGAAAAGCUGGGUUCUACUAAAAUCAUGUUGGAAAAAGUAACCAACUCAAUUAUCAAUAGGAUGACAAAGAGAGAGAAAGGGGAGAGAGAGAGAGUUGGUGAUGGAGUGUAGAAGCCAUUGGAUUGUGUAUGUCAUUUAGGGCCUUCUUAGAUACCAGAAUUUCUCAUAUGGUGAUAUCUUAAGAUGGCUUCUCUUCAUCUCAAGGGAAUGAGAGGAAAAACAGGCACAUUGGUUGAAGGAGGCUGCCAAAGGCCUGCAAUCCAUGAAUUCUCAAGACAACAGAUUCCACCGGAAAUGUGAAUUAUGCGAUCCCUAAAAUUUAGUGAUUGGGAGAAGUAAGUUUGCCAAUCAAGAGGAAAACCACUCUCCACCUUAGCAAGCUCUUCCCACUACGCAUCCACACAGUCCCUUAACGAAGAGUGAGAGAAAGGUGGAGAGUGGUUCAGUGGAGACAGCUUACCAUAUGGGCAUUGACUAAGAAGAGAAUUGUGUGAAGGACAUUUCAUGUCAUUUACGUACAUUCCCCCGCCUGUUUGUAAGUUGUAAUAGAACACAAAAGUCAUUUUUCUUGUUGAAGAAAGCAAGAAAAAAUGCAGUCCCCUUUGAAUUUCACAUUCCAAAACAAUAUUGACAGCAGGCAUGUUCAUUUUUUUUUCCCUUUUCCUUAUCUUAGUUUUAAGAGGGUUGGGCAUUCUUUUUAUUUGCUUUGUAGUAGAGAGGGGAUUCUCUGUUUUUUACGGUCUUCGUAGCAUAGUAAUCUUUUUUUCUUGUCUACAAAAAAUUGUAUCGCCAUAAGAACCAUAAUUUAACAUGUUAAUCAUUGCUAAAGUUUCUAAGCCCCAAAUAACAAUAAUACAAUUUCUUUUACAAAUGCCAACAAAACUCAAAAUAUUCAUUCUAUAUUUUUAUAUUUCUAAAUUCAUUUGCCAACAAAAACUUAACAUCUUGUUGAGCAAACUUUUUUUUUUAUUUUGGUAACACAUUAUGUAGGGUCCCCAAGAUAAAAUUGCUGGCCCUGCCCCUGCUAAGCAAUCAUGCUCAUGAAACAGCACUUCCAAUUAACAUUUGUGUCUCUUCUAGAAGUGUGGACAACAAAAUGCCAACGAUUGUACAAGCACGAAAUCAUUUGACUUGAGUGCAGAAAUUGUUCCUAGAUUGUAUUCAAAUCAAGUUUCUUAACAUCAUGCACGAAGGGGAAAAUGGCUUUGAGGAAGAAGAUAUGGCACAACAAAAUAUAUUUUAUGAAAAUGAAAAUAAAAUGAUAUCAUGUAAGUUGAACAUCAAGACCUCUUAAAGCUUUGGUUCAUUUAUCCAAGAGAGAAGUACGUUCCAAAAAUCAGUUAGCCUGAUUGGCUACAUGACCAUGUUUUUUGAUGUAGAUAUGGUAGCAGGAUAGCCUUUCUCAUCAUUGACAAUAAUAAAUAAGUGAAGCAUUUCACUAAAGGUACAAAAGAAACCCUGGGCUCCACAAGGUAAGAGUCAAAUAUGGUUGUUAGUUAAUUUUUCUAUUGGCAAAAAUUUAUUUAUGAGAACAGAGUAUAAAGGUACAUGUUGGAAGACCAAUGUUGCUUGGACACUCACAAAUCUAGCUUCUUGAUUUGUCAAAAACUUGGACACUUCAUAACACCCAUUCACACUUUAAAUCUAAGAACCAAAUGAUUUUCAUUAUUACAUUUCAACUUUGGCACUUCUAUACAUACAUACAUAUAUAUAUAUAUAUAUAUAUAUAUUGUGCUUAAAACAACAUCAACAGAAGAGCUAGUAGCUUUUAUCAAAUUAUGUAGUAGUCAGCCUCACAGGUUAUUAAUUAGAUACUUAAUUAUGAACACAUCUGUUUAUUAUAGAUGUAUCCUUAAGUCCGCUUCCUUGAUGCCACUCCCAUUGAAUUAAUCUAUCUAGACACCUGGACAUUUGACACCCAUAGUACAUCCAUUCUAAAGAACAUUUCAAUUUUACUGAAAGACAAUGAGCAACAAAUCUCAGAUCUCAUGAAGGAAAAUAAGUGCAAAAAGAAAAAGAGGCGAAAGGACAUGCUCAACACAAACCAAACAAUGUCUUCUAGACAUCAAAAGGAAUGAAGAAAUCUUUGUGGUGAUAAAAAGAGACAUAUCAAGACAGCUAGAAAAAAGAAAGAAAUAAAGAAAAAUGUGCACACCUUAAAGAUGGAAGAAAAAGUUUUUAGUAGUUUGUGUCUUUAAGGACUCAAAAUAGUUUGUCUUUAAGGACUCAAAAAAUGCCCAGUUUAAGUGGAGGAAGUAUGUAGCUGACCACUUUAAAUCUUUUGUGAUAUCACUUUAGUUUUCCCCACACUGUAGGUCCUGCAUCAUUUACAAUCUAUAAGAACUAUGAAGUCCCUUUUUUUGGGGCACCUAAUUGGAUCAAAAGGCCUAUAACAAAAGGAGGAAAGGACAAGAUCAUACUUUCUUGGUUAUCAAUACAUGUCAUGAAAUAAUUAGUCAAAUUUCCUUUUUUUCCCCUCCUUAUAUUUUAGUUUAUUGAACUCCAUCCAUAAAAUUAAGUUUAAAUUGAAGAUCAAUUGGUAAAGUUGUAGAUUUAGCAGUUCCUCCUCUUUCUUUUUUCUUUCUCCAUUCUUAGGAUCUGAUUUUCGAUCAGAUUUUAAAUAUUUAAACAUCUAGAAGAUAACCUUUCAUUUGUCACUGAAUCAACAGACCUCUAGUCACUAUCUGUAUGUAUGCACACCACAUGCCAUCUGAACACAACUUUGCCAAUUGUUUAGAAGUACAUAUUUUUUAAACCCAGUCCACGUGAAUUACCCAAUUGAAGUUCGAAAAAAACUUUAUUGCCUACAAGAAUGAAGGUAAUACAUUAUACGGCCUGGUCAAUUAUUCAUAACCUUAACUGAGAGUCCGAGGAAAAAAUUGCACUCGAGACAGAAAGCUUUGAAUUAAUUAGGCUCUAAACAUAGAGCAUCCUUGCAAUAUAUUUGUCAUUUGGAGCAAGUGAAACGAUAACAUAAUCAUAGUAUAUAGGCAAAGAGUUUGAAGUAAAAUUUAUUUGCAGUGUGGUAUAUGUUUAGUUGGUUGGUUUUGGGGGUGGGGCGAUAACAAUAGGUUUUCUUACAUCAACUUCAAGUGCAAAACCAAGAAAGUGCAUCCAUCAUCUCCCAUCUUUAUCUUCUAGGGGGGCGAUAGUAUUAUAAAACAUCAUGACCACCUCAAGUCACACCAGCCUAAUUAGCAGUGGAAUGUCUUUUCAUAUUUUCUUGUCCUGUGGGGAUGAAUUAUAUAUCUUUAGUUAUUUAUUGCUUUUACCUUUCUUGAUAGCUUCAUUGUUCCUUUCAUCCAGAAGUGGUCCCUUUCGAAUACUAGUAUGGGUGUGUGGAAAAAGAGUGAAGAAUGAACCCUUUAAUGUUUGGUAGAAGGUCUAAGAGGCAAACUCACGUAACUUAUUUUAUCAACAACAAAUGUGAUACCAAAAUAAGUAGCUUUCACAAUUGUCCACCUUUCCUUUCAAACAGAAAGCUGCUUUAUAAAAUGUCAUAAAAUUAUUUCGUCAUGAAACUCGAGCCUUCCCUGGUUUUUUCUUUCCUUUCCUGAAAGAGGCUCCAUAUGUUUUUCAUUUCACUUGCCAUGUACUCAUAUUUGUUGCAAACAUGAGGGAAGAGAGGUUAUAAGACAGAUGGAAUGCACUAGGAGUAACAUAACACUGAAAGGACCAGUACAUCAUAGCUUUAUUUGAAAGGCCUGGAAAAGCCUAAAGACAAUUUCUCAAUAGUGAUUGAUCAAGAUGUCCUUUUUUCUUUCCAUUAAAAGUAAACUAACAGAAUAGCUAUAUAAGCUAUUGUCACUAGCAUGUCUAGAUUCCAGAACUACCAGUGACAACCUAUGUAUGUUAAAAGCUUUACUUCCACACAGAAGUUAAGAAGCAGAUAUCCAGGUUUCCUAAAGAAUAUCUAGGUAAAUCCUGACAAGCUACAGAAGUUUUUAUUUUUGACUGGAUCACUUAAUUGCCCUGACGCUGCUUCAUGGUGGAAAAGAGCUGUAUCCAUGCAGUUAAGCCAAGCAUUCAUUGAUAAACACAGUGAAAUGGGACUUACGGGGAGAUCUGCAAGGGCCUGGCUGAUUGCAGUACAAGCUGCUGCAGUUGCACCAGUCUGUAUAGCAUUCAUUGUGACAUCAAUGAUGAAGAAAAACACAGCAGGCAUUGGAUCACGGACCUGAAACCAAACAAACAUGCAACAAAAUUCAGUUUAAUCAUAAAACAACAGAACAGUUUUGUAGCACAUAGCUCAGUCAUAUAUGCUAAACCCAAAAGAUCGCAAGACUGAACCCAACACACACAAAUGUAAAAGGUCACAAUCAAGGUUUUAAAUUCCUGUCCCAACAACAAUCCUAAUCAUACAUCCCGAUAGAUAUCCUUUAUUUGUUUCCUUCUUUCCUUUCUUUCCUUUUUUUCUUUUUUUCCCUUCUUUUCCUUCUUUUUUCUACCUUCCUUUCUUUCCUUUAUUUUUUCUUUCCUUUUCUUCUCCCCUUCUUUUUUUUUCCAUUUUCCUUCUUCUUUUCUUUCGCUUUUUUUUUCUUCGUCUUUCCUUCCUUUCUUUUUUUCCCUCUUUCUUCUUCUCUCCCCACAUGGAUGGGUUUCAAAGUCCCGAACCCAUCUCAAUCCUAUUUUCUCAUAGGAACGGGAUGAGAUGGCUGGGAUGCCACCAUCCCAUCAGGACGUAAAACCUUGCUUGCAAUCAUUAUUGUGUGCAAACAUGAGAAUAUUGCCUUCUGUCCCUAUAGCACAUGCAUGCUUGAAGAAUGGAGGAUCUGUUGGUCACAGCUCAAUUUGUUUUCAGCAUCACAUGAUCAAUUCCAGACUAAGCAUCGAAAAAGCUGCAAUUAAUACUUGUGUGUGUACUGUGAAAACUAAAUGUCAUGUCCAUGCAAAGAAACUUGCAGCAUGCACCAACAAAGGCAUAGGCAAGAACAUGUACACAUAUGCAUAAAGAUGUUUAAGAAAAAGCAUUAGGACAAAAGCAGAAAAAAGAAAGUAAGCUUCCAUGUGUAAGCUUUGUAUGUAUGUAUGCAUAUGUGCAUACAUGCAUGCAAGUAUACAUGUAUGCAUGAAUGUAUAUCGUAUUUUAACGAAUAAUAUGUAUUUAAGCCCAAAAAAAUACAUACCACCAUGGACAAAAUCUUUGAAAGCAAAUAGUGAAACCAUCACAUUAAACACAGAGAGGCAUGAAAAAUAAAGAACACUACUAGUUACUAAAAGCCCACUAUAUAGUAUUCCUCUGUUGCAUUAGUGAGCUCUGUUAUUGACACAAAAACCCCUUAUAUUAAUAUCUUUGAAACUAAGGCAAGCAAUAGCAAACAGCAAAAGUACAAUGUAACACAGCACAAGAGAGAACUAAAACAAGACAAAUGAAAAACUUGGAAGCAAAAGACAAGUAAACGGACCAUGUAUUCCUUAGUAGCAACAAAUUCCACUGUUCCUCUACAGAGUUCAGGUCUUUCAUCAGCAUCACGCCGCCUACCAUCUGGCCCUAGAUUACAGUAGUAAUCCCGAGGAGUCUCAUUGCUAAAUCCUGCCGAAAGAGUGCUUCAUUAACAAUUUCAUAGUCUUCCAGAAAAGGGGAAGAGAAACAGUGCAUCCGCAUCAUCAUCAUCAUCAUCAUAAUAAUAAUAAUCAUCAUUAUAAAGCUACAUGGAAGCGCCAUGAAAAGACAAAUGUAUCUGUUAAAACUCAAAAAAGAAAAGCAUAAAUUGCAUCAAAAAGAUAAAGAAAUCUGGCAUCGAAGUAAUUUCCUCUAAAAAAUAGAGGGAUAUGAAGUGCGAUAAUUCUGAAAGAGGAAGUUCUUUUUCUCAUGGUUACAAGGAACUUAGUUUGCCAUCCUUCCUAAGGAUGAGCAUACUGGUUAAAGCCAUAAAAGUACAAGCAAACUUGAUAUAAACUUCUAGGGGCAAAAAGUUAGAAAGCAUAGGUAAUGAAAAACUAUAAGAUAAAGUGAACAGGUGAUAAUCUUGUUAUAUUAAUGAGCACCAAAUUGCAAAAACAUCAAGCAACACAAUGAAGCAUGACUACUGAAUGUCAUCUAUGAUGCUUACCACAUAGAUUGCAAAUGAAAUGUCGUCCUUGAUCACCAAAUCUCAUGAAAGGAUUUAUAUAUCCUUUGCAGCGAGAACAUCGAAGAGGUCCACUCUCCCCAAAGUCCACAACCUUUUCAAAAAUUUGAAAAAGAAAGUUCUUAAGAAACAUGAUUAAAGAGCAUUCCAGAAGAAUAUUAAAGCAAAGAACUUACAUACCCAGAAAUUAGAAAGUGAACUUCAUAAUUUAAGCUCAUAAUUAUCAUCUUUCAAUCCAUCAAUACAAGGGAACAGUCAUUAUCGAUAGCAAUUACUGAUGUACAAUAGCAUUUGAUGUCCAUCUAGCAUAUUUCAUGAAAAGCGUAAUAUACGUAUCCAGUGUCCUUAAAAUUGAACUCACAUUGCAUAACAAGAUGACCUGCCACUCUAACGUUACACAGGUAUUGUACUAACAUUCUAAAUAUAGUGGAACAUUUUGAGUUUGCUUUUUUGCAUUUGGUUUUGUGGUGUAUCUACGUUCUUAUUAAGUGGGGGGUAAAGAUAACUUUCCAUUCCAAACUUGUUUGACAGUGAUGUUCAUGUGUUAUAUUUGCUCGGUGGUAUUCAACUUAUGUACUGGCUUCAUAAGAAAGGAGGAAAGGGGGGAACAAAAAGAAAGCAAAGAAAGAAAAACAAGAAGCUCAUGAGCAGAUAAUGGUAGUUGAUGGUAGGCAAGGAACCUAUUAUGCUUCGACUUAUUGAUUAUUUGAUGACCAGGUUAUAUAGCAAUAGUUUAAAACACGUGAUCAAAUCAGACAUUGAAAGAGAGGUUCAUUGGUAGUCAAUCUAGAAAAAUAUUAAAAGUAAUAAAUUCCUUAUAUAUACUGAUUGUCAAGAGUGGUGGCUUCCAUGUAGGCAAGACCAAUGCAUGUGGUGGCUUCCGUGAAGUACCAUCAUUAGUGAAGUGAAAGGCAGCCAUGAUGGCGACGGUGUCUUCUUUGUGGCACGACCAAGUGGUGGCCAUGAGGGGAGAUGAAGGCACGGCAUUGGACAUGACGAAGAAGCACAAAUCAUUCAAUUAGGGCUAG
rnacentral:lncRNA from 1 species